CUUCCGUAGGUGAACCUGCGGAGGGAUCAUUACACAAAUAUGAAGGCGGGCUGGAACCUCUCGGGGUUACAGCCUUGCUGAAUUAUUCACCCUUGUCUUUUGCGUACUUCUUGUUUCCUUGGUGGGUUCGCCCACCACUAGGACAAACAUAAACCUUUUGUAAUUGCAAUCAGCGUCAGUAACAAAUUAAUAAUUACAACUUUCAACAACGGAUCUCUUGGUUCUGGCAUCGAUGAAGAACGCAGCGAAAUGCGAUAAGUAGUGUGAAUUGCAGAAUUCAGUGAAUCAUCGAAUCUUUGAACGCACAUUGCGCCCUUUGGUAUUCCAAAGGGCAUGCCUGUUCGAGCGUCAUUUGUACCCUCAAGCUUUGCUUGGUGUUGGGCGUCUUGUCUCUAGCUUUGCUGGAGACUCGCCUUAAAGUAAUUGGCAGCCGGCCUACUGGUUUCGGAGCGCAGCACAAGUCGCACUCUCUAUCAGCAAAGGUCUAGCAUCCAUUAAGCCUUUUUUUCAACUUUUGACCUCGGAUCAGGUAGGGAUACCCGCUGAACUUAAGCAUAUCAAUAAGCGGAGG
rnacentral:rRNA from 1 species